ACUAUGUAACUAGUUCUAGUUUUCCAAGCUCAGAACCAGAAGAUUUCACAGUUUAUUUUUUUCUCCCCCCCAUUUAUAGACUAUUUAGAUGAGCUCACAGUUAUGUGACAGAAGUUAGUGUUUGGUUUUUUUCUUCAGCUAGAGUUGCUUGCUUGAACACCAUUAUUCAUGUGAAUAAAAGGAGUGUUUAGGAACUGGCAAUCUUAAAGCCAUAUGGAUAAGUGCAGGUAUGAAGUUCUGCAAAACAGAAGAAUGUCCAUGGUGAAACACUCUCCCUCAAUUAGUUCCAUUUUUUAUAGCUACCAUUCCUGCUCACCGUGCAUAUAACUAAUGGACGCAAAGACAGUAAAAUCCGGGUAACUCAAGUGGGAAGAGAAUAUAGGAAGACUCUAGUCUGACUUCCUUCUUGAUACACGGCAUCUCUGGGGUUCAAAGACAUUUCUGUCCAGUUGAGUCUUGAAUCUCUCUGGGAAACCUUCUACACUUCACAGUGGUCUUCAAGACAUCAAGCCCUGGUCCCUCAGUUGUCCCUCCAAGGGCAAGUGCUCCAUUCUGUUCUGAUGGUCUUCUGUUGAACUCACUCCACUUUAAUGAUGUCUAUCCUAUUCUGAGGAACACGAAACUGGAUGCAGUAAUAUUGGUGUGACCUAACAAGUGUGGAGUAAAGGGGAUGAUAAUCACUUCCUUGGACCUGCUGUCUGUGAUGCCGUUAACAAGUCUGUAUGUUGUUGCCAUUUCUGCUGUCAGGACACCUUGCUGGCUCCAGUCACUCUCCUCAGGGACAUUUUCCCAAAGCUUAUCCCUGGGUUGUCUGUAUCACUGUUGAAUUUCCUGAUGCUCCUGUUGGUCUAUUCCUACAGUCUGUCACAAUUUCUGUGGCUGACAGGCCCCAGGCUUAUAUUGCCUGGUCACUGCACUUUAUAGUCAAAAGAAAGCUUCAUGAGAAGUGAAUUGUGUUUUCACCAGGUACUUGAUGAAGAUUUUGAACAAGAUAGAUUGAUGUUUCCCAAAACACUUCUAGAGUUUAAGUGUUAGUAUUCUAAAAUAUUUUGUAAAUAGAUGGAAUUACUUUGUAUAAAGCAGUCUACUUUCAUGCACAGUGAUGUCUGAAAUUUAUAAAUAUGCACAUGUUUAAAUGGAAAAUCCCUAAUAUAACUUAAUGAAUCAUAACAUUUUGAUUUGGAGCACGCAAACAUAAGUAGCUUAAUUCAAACUAAGAAAACUAUGAAAAGCAUGUUAAGCAUUCCUAAGAGAUGUUCAGAAUGUAAUGAUGCACCAUUCAGACAAGUCAGCAUUAAAGCUAAAGUCUUUGAAAUGAAAAUCUGGAAAAGCAUUUUGGGUCAUUUGUCAAGAUUCUUUACAUAUUACACAGCUGUUGUAAUUUCCCAGCUUUAAUGGCAAUAUGCUGGUGAAAGGAAAAUUGUUUUUAAGAAGAACUAAGAAGAGAAGAAAGGAAGAAAACAAGACAUGAAUAAAAUAAUUCUUCAGUUUAAUCCAAGAAUUAAAUUGUAUUCCUCCUACUUACUACCCUCUAGAUUCCUGAAACUUUGACAGCAUGAUGUCCUCAGCUGUGUAAUUGCAUCUCACUGCGUGGACUGGUGCUGGUAGCAAAUCCUUAAAUCAUAAUAAAUCUUUGAAAGACUUUUUUUCUUUAUUCCAGAUGGAAAAUAUACACUCCACUUGGUAGAUUUCCUCUGUUUAAAUCUGACACUUGAGCAUCUGUAAUAUUCAGCAUUCUUUGAAUAUCUGAACACAUUUUUGUUGAUAUAGUCAAUUGGCAUAGUCUUACUGUGUUGCCAGAAGGCAACAUGGGCAUCAACAUUAAGGCAUCAACUACAUCCUGCUACAUCAGAGACCUGUAAAUUAUAUAAAUAGAUUUCAGUUCCACACAAUGCUCCUAAAUCAUUGAGGGAUUUUUGGAUUUCAAAUGUAAAACAAUUUUAAAAAAGCCCUCUGUAAAUCAGGAAGUACGAAAUGGUUCGUUAUUUUCACAUAGAAAAUAAGGGUCUUAAGCUACUAAAUAUUAUAGUUUAAUCUCUAAGAUUGUACUUCUGAGUUUGCAAGUGCAAAUGCAUUUUUACUUUUUUAAAAAAUAUAUUUACACCAGAUACUUGAGUUUAGAUUUCUCUGCUCAGCUACAUGCUUUUAGUAAAUUGGCCACAUUAGGCUCCCUUUGAAAAUAGUAGAAAGAUUAAUUAUUUUAAAUUAUAUCUGCUUUUACAGUAGUCUUACAUAACGAGUGGUUCAGAAACACUUAU